AUAAGUAGGUGACAGGAUUUGUUCUAUAGGCUCGUACCUCUGUAUCCUUGAUUUCUGAGGAGACAGGUUGCCGAGUCUGGUGGAUGAACUGUGACUGCAUUACCAGAGCAUGAUUGACAGCCUGUGACCUUGUUUGGCCAUAUAAGCCGUAGAAUAUCGUUCAGCCAUAUUCUGACAGGGUGGUCAUCCAGGUGUCUGACCGGCC
rfam:Daucus carota subsp. sativus cultivar DH1 chromosome 7, whole genome shotgun sequence.